rnacentral:lncRNA from 1 species
UCUUUCCUUCCCUUUUCUUUUUCUUUUUCUUCUCUUCUUCUCCAGAAUCUUCUCCAGACUUCUUUCUUCUUUCUUUUUCUUUCUCCUCCUCUCUUCUCUCGACUUCUUCUCCUUCCCCCCCUUUCUUUCUUCUUCUUUCUUGUCCUGCGAAGGGAGGUUGGCGAGCUCGGGAGAGGCCAAGUCGAGGCCGGCGGCGCCCGCGGCGGCCAGCCCUUUUCUUCUUCCCGCGGAGGAGGCAUGCACACGGGAGAAGAAGAAGAGCCCGCGACGGUCGGCCUUCUCCUUCUUCCCUCUCUUUUUUUUUUUUCAAAUGGUAUAACAAAGAAGUGAAGGGUAGAAACCCUUACCUCAGCCCUGGCGAAGAUCCGGCGACAAAGGAAGAAGAAGGCCACCCAACGACCCUCUCUCUCUCUCUUUCGGCGGCAACACGAAGAACCUGAAGGGUUCUAGCAUGCUAUAAUGGGCAGCCGAAGCUAGGAAUUUUAAAAAUUUCUUGAUAAAGUUCCUUAACAUAAAACCUUUAUAAGCCAAGAUCACCUUAAUGGAAGCAAUCAAAUAAUAUAAUAUAAAUGCAGAAAUAGAAGAAUACCUCUAACGCUAAUCCAAUAUGCAGAAUUUCCACUAGGUACUCAAGUGCUCACCCUCCAAUG